rnacentral:rRNA from 1 species
GACAGAGGUGCCGAGCGUUAGGCGGAAUCACUGGGCUUAAAGCGUGUGUAGGCGGGCGGGCAAGUACCUUGUGAAAUCCCACGGCUCAACCGUGGAACGGCUGGGUAUACUGCCUGUCUUGAGCCAACUAGGAGCGAGCGGAACAGACGGUGGAGCGGUGAAAUGCGUAGAUAUCGUCUGGAACGCCAAAGGUGAAAACAGCUCGCUGGGGUUGUGCUGACGCUGAGACACGAAAGCCAGGGGAGCGAACGGG